rnacentral:rRNA from 1 species
GUUAUGGCUUCCAAGGCGACGACGGGUAGCCGACCUGAGAGGGUGACCGGCCCACUGGGACUGAGACACGGCCCAGACUCCUACGGGAGGCAGCAGUGGGGAAUAUUGCACAAUGGGCGGAAGCCUGAUGCAGCGACGCCGCGUGAGGGAUGAAGGCCUUCGGGUUGUAAACCUCUUUCAGCAGGGACGAAGCGUGAGUGACGGUACCUGCAGAAGAAGCACCGGCUAACUACGUGCCAGCAGCCGCGGUAAUACGUAGGGUGCGAGCGUUGUCCGGAAUUACUGGGCGUAAAGAGUUCGUAGGCGGUCUGUCGCGUCGUUUGUGAAAACCCGGGGCUCAACUUCGGGCUUGCAGGCGAUACGGGCAGACUUGAGUGUUUCAGGGGAGACUGGAAUUCCUGGUGUAGCGGUGAAAUGCGCAGAUAUCAGGAGGAACACCGGUGGCGAAGGCGGGUCUCUGGGCAGUAACUGACGCUGAGGAGCGAAAGCGUGGGGAGCGAACAGGAUUAGAUACCCUGGUAGUCCACGCCGUAAACGGUGGGUACUAGGUGU